GGAGACCAGCAGAGGAGCUUUGAGAUGCAGUCUGUCCAGCAGCUACAUCAGCUUCAGGUCAGCUCGCUGUGGAACGCUCUGACGUCUGAAGGCCAGAAGUCCCCAGGAUCUGCUCAGACUGAACCGCUCCUGUCAAAACCACGGUGACUUUACAGAAGCAGGAGACCUACAACAGCAUGAAGGUCCAGAGAGACGCCCUGAGGACCUGGACGUGUGCAGAUACCCAUCAGCAGCUCUGUAGAAGUUUUUGAGCAGCUCAGAGGGAAGUCCAGACCGGUUCAGGUUCCUGAGGAAGAGGAGCCGUGGUUGGGCCUUCUUCACCAGGUGGAGGUGUUCUCAGUCCAGGAGGUCUGAGGAGAUGUGGAGGUCCAGGAACCUGAUGCUGUCCACGCCUCCACCACCUAAGCUUCUCAGCACCUGACUCCAUGUCUGGACCUGCAGCCUGGUUGGUGGUGACCUUCUUCAGGGAGGAGGUCCCCUGGUGUAGCUGCAGGAGAGGCUGAUGGUUCUCCUCUGGCAGGGGGAGAUGUUCAGGCUCCCUGUCACAGACUCUGGUUUUCCCUCGGUUAUCACAUGGAUGGUCCUCCGUUAACAGAUAACAGCAGGAAGAUGAUCUACGCUCGUCUUUGCUUGUUUCUCCUCCACCGACAGCAGGUCUUCAUGUAGGAGACGGAGAGGACAGACUUUGAUGCUGUGCUCUGAUUGGACAAUAUGAAUGAUGUAGAAAGACGACCCGUCGUCUGCUGGGAAGGAGCCGGGUUUGGUUCUGGUCUACAGACCGAGCUCCACAGCGCCACCUAGCGGUGAGACACCCUCACUGCUCCUUUAACUGAGCUCAGUACCAACGGGCCGUGUAACUCCAUCACGCCCGUAUUUCCCUCCUGUGGGACAAUAACGGGGUUUCUGUUCUAAUGACACAUUUCAUUCACACGGUUUAGGUCAGAACCAGGCCAGAACCAGGCCAGAACCACACCAGAACCGGCAGCAGCACCAGAGGCCUCGGACCCGGACGCUCUCCCAC